rnacentral:lncRNA from 1 species
GGCAAGUUGUUUGUUUAGCCAGGGCCUUUCUAGCCAUCCCUAUAUGUAUGUUUCCCUUCGUAAACCCCGUUGAGCCUUAGCCAUUUUAUUCAUUGUAAAUCCCAUGUUAACGUUUAAGCAUUAUUCAUCAUGAACCCCUGUUAACACGUAAUCAUCCAUUUCCUUUUGUGUCAUAACUCGGUAUGAUUGUGUGAACUGCAAGAUGUGCAAUAAAACUAAGUUUGGGGUGGAAAUCUUGGAAGAGAAGGCAAGUGCAUAAGAUGCGAUCAUACAAAAAGAAAAAUAGUAUGUAUUUUCUUUAAAAGAAAAAAAAAAGAUUAAAAAAAAGAAAAAAAGAAAAGAAAAACAAAAGAGAAAAAUGCACUUGCCGAGACCUUAGAUUCUAACAGAUAUAAAAUGCUCGGAAAAUUUGAAUAGAAAAAGAGUCAAAAGAGUGAAAUUAAC